rnacentral:lncRNA from 12 species
UGGAAUCAAAACAAGAAAAUGGGAUGAUAGAAGAAGCUACAGACCAUCUUUCCAGGGCAUUGCUGACUUUGAUGUCAAAGCUCUGACUCCCAUCCAAGGCUUGGUGCUCUUCCGCUGGAGUCAUCAAAAUUUGC